CCUACGGGCGGCAGCAGUGAGGAAUAUUGGUCAAUGGACGAGAGUCUGAACCAGCCAAGUAGCGUGAAGGAUGACUGCCCUAUGGGUUGUAAACUUCUUUUAUAAAGGAAUAAAACGAGGCACGUGUGCCUUUUUGCAUGUACCUCAUGAAUAAGGACCGGCUAACUCCGUGCCAGCAGCCGCGGUAAUACGGAGGGUCCGAGCGUUAUCCGGAUUUAUUGGGUUUAAAGGGAGCGUAGAUGGGUGCUUAAGUCAGUUGUGAAAGUUUGCGGCUCAACCGUAACAUUGCAGUUGAUACUGGCAGGCUUGAGUGCGGUUGAGGUAGGCGGAAUUCGUGGUGUAGCGGUGAAAUGCUUAGAUAGCACGAAGAACCCCGAUUGCGAAGGCAGCUUACUGAACUGUGACUGACAUUGAUGCUCGAAAGUGUGGGUAUCAAACAGGAUUAGAUACCCCAGUAGUC
rnacentral:rRNA from 1 species